rnacentral:rRNA from 1 species
CAGUAGCGUAUAUUUAAGUUGUUGCAGUUAAAAAGCUCGUAGUUGGAUUUCGGAUGGGAUUUGCCGGUCCGUCGUUACGAUGUGCACUGGCCAGUCCUAUCUUGUUGUCGGGGACUAGCUCCUUGGAUUCACUUCCUGGGACUAGGAGCUGACGAGGUUACUUUGAGUAAAUUAGAGUGUUCAAAGCAAGCCUACGCUCUGAAUACAUUAGCAUGGAAUAACACGAUAGGACUCUGGCUUAUCUUGUUGGUCUGUGAGACCAGAGUAAUGAUUAAGAGGGACAGUCGGGGACAUUCGUAUUUCAUUGUCAGAGGUGAAAUUCUUGGAUUUAUGAAAGACGAACUUCUGCGAAAGCAUUUGUCAAGGAUGUUUUCAUUAA